UUUCUGUCUUGAGGUUAUGAGGUAUGAGCUGUAGUUUGGCAGGUAUGAGCUGUAGUUUGGCAGGUAUGAGCUGUAGUUUGGCAGGUAUGAGCUGUAGUUUGGCAGGUAUGAGCUGUAGUUUGGCAGGUAUGAGCUGUAGUUUGGCAGGUAUGAGCUGUAGUUUGGCAGGUAUGAGCUGUAGUUUGGCAGGUAUGAGCUGUAGUUUGGCAGGUAU